rnacentral:lncRNA from 1 species
AUGCGGCACACCGGGAGAGACGAGCUGUUGAGUCCCUGGACUCUGCCAGCACAUCGCGGCAGGAAUUCGGGACUGGCUUCGGAGGCCCUCUCUGGGGAAAGGGUCCUCUCGCCUACUCCCGAGCAGUUCAGGCAUCGUAGUAACAACAGGACCUGUUCCGGAAGCUCCUUCCAAAGGCCAGAACCGGUUCUGCUGAGAACUCUCCUUCCCACGGGGCCAGACCUGUCUGCCGGCCAUGGCAGCCUGGCGUGCAGUGCGAGGCUUGCUCAGGCUCCAUCUGGGAAGACAAGGUCCCCACUGGAUGGCUGGAACCUCUGUCCCCAGCACCGGGAGCACCUCCAGAGUGCACAGAAGGGCUGGCCGGGCGAUGCUGAGCUGCGCCCCUCGGCAUUGGCUUCCAGCAGGAGCGGCUUCUCACUCCACUUGGGGGCUGUCUCCAUGCCAUCCAGCUGGUGCUUCCGGCUGACUUUGCACCAAGUGCCACAGUGGAUCCGGCCGUAGAGGAGGCUGCAGGACCCAGCACAGAGGCAGACACACGGCUGGUAGCUGACAAGGGCAAGCUGACUGAUGCUCGAGAGAGCCGUGGUCACAGAACGUUGCUGCGACUUUGGUGACGAGUCAGAAGGCAUGAGGAUGACAGUUUAAGACUGAAAAGUAAAA